rnacentral:rRNA from 1 species
GGCCUAACACAUGCAAGUCGAACGGGCGUAGCAAUACGUCAGUGGCAGACGGGUGAGUAACGCGUGGGAACAUACCUCUUGGUUCGGAACAACACAGGGAAACUUGUGCUAAUACCGGAUAAGCCCUUACGGGGAAAGAUUUAUCGCCGAGAGAUUGGCCCGCGUCUGAUUAGCUAGUUGGUGGGGUAAAGGCCUACCAAGGCGACGAUCAGUAGCUGGUCUGAGAGGAUGAUCAGCCACAUUGGGACUGAGACACGGCCCAAACUCCUACGGGAGGCAGCAGUGGGGAAUAUUGGACAAUGGGCGCAAGCCUGAUCCAGCCAUGCCGCGUGAGUGAUGAAGGCCCUAGGGUUGUAAAGCUCUUUUGUGCGGGAAGAUAAUGACGGUACCGCAAGAAUAAGCCCCGGCUAACUUCGUGCCAGCAGCCGCGGUAAUACGAAGGGGGCUAGC